rnacentral:rRNA from 1 species
GACGAACGCUGGCGGCGUGCUUAACACAUGCAAGUCGAACGGAAAGGCCCUGCUUUUGUGGGGUGCUCGAGUGGCGAACGGGUGAGUAACACGUGAGUAACCUGCCCUUGACUUUGGGAUAACUUCAGGAAACUGGGGCUAAUACCUGAUAGGAGCUCCUGCUGCAUGGUGGGGGUUGGAAAGUUUCGGCGGUUGGGGAUGGACUCGCGGCUUAUCAGCUUGUUGGUGGGGUAGUGGCUUACCAAGGCUUUGACGGGUAGCCGGCCUGAGAGGGUGACCGGCCACAUUGGGACUGAGAUACGGCCCAGACUCCUACGGGAGGCAGCAGUGGGGAAUAUUGCACAAUGGGCGGAAGCCUGAUGCAGCAACGCCGCGUGCGGGAUGACGGCCUUCGGGUUGUAAACCGCUUUCGCCUGUGACGAAGCGUGAGCGACGGUAAUGGGUAAAGAAGCACCGGCUAACUACGUG